rnacentral:rRNA from 1 species
GUCCACGCCCUAAACGAUGUCAACUAGGUGUUGGGAGGGUAAAACCUUUUAGUACCGGAGCUAACGCGUGAAGUUGACCGCCUGGGGAGUACGGCCGCAAGGUUAAAACUCAAAGGAAUUGACGGGGACCCGCACAAGCGGUGGAUGAUGUGGAUUAAUUCGAUGCAACGCGAAAAACCUUACCUACCCUUGACAUGUCAGGAACUUGCCAGAGAUGGCUUGGUGCUCGAAAGAGAACCUGAACACAGGUGCUGCAUGGCUGUCGU